GACGAACGCUGGCGGCGUGCCUAAUACAUGCCAGUAGAACGCUGAAGGAGGAGCUUGCUUCUCUGGAUGAGUUGCGAACGGGUGAGUAACGCGUAGGUAACCUGCCUGGUAGUGGGGGAUAACUAUUGGAAACGAUAGCUAAUACCGCAUAAUAGCAGUUGUUGCAUGAUAACUGUUUGAAAGGUGCAAUUGCACCGCUACCAGAUGGACCUGCGUUGUAUUAGCUAGUUGGUGGGGUAACGGCUCACCAAGGCGACGAUACAUAGCCGACCUGAGAGGGUGAUCGGCCACACUGGGACUGAGACACGGCCCAGACUCCUACGGGAGGCAGCAGUAGGGAAUCUUCGGCAAUGGACGGAAGUCUGACCGAGCAACGCCGCGUGAGUGAAGAAGGUUUUCGGAUCGUAAAGCUCUGUUGUAAGAGAAGAACGAGUGUGAGAGUGGAAAGUUCACACUGUGACGGUAUCUUACCAGAAAGGGACGGCUAACUACGUG
rnacentral:rRNA from 1 species